rnacentral:rRNA from 1 species
ACGUAGGUGACGAGCGUUGUUCGGAAUUAUUGGGCGUAAAGGGUUCGUAGGUGGUUUAUUAAGAUUGUUGUGAAAUCCCACGGCUCAACCUUGGAACUGCAUUGAAUACUGAUGAACUAGAGUGCCGAAGAGGAAAGCGGAAUUCCAGGUGUAGCGGUGAAAUGCGGAGAUCUCUGGAGGAACACCUGUGGCGAAGGCGGCUCUCUGGGCGGGAUCUGACAGUGAGGAACGAAAGCAGGGGGAGCAAACAG